GUUGGGUAUAAAGAGUUGAAAAAUAUGAUAAUGUUUGAUAUAAGGACAUAUUGGUUACAAGGAGAUGUGGUAAAUACGGAGAAGUUGGGUAUAACGAAACAUUUUGUACAAAUAAGGAGAUAUUUAGCAUACGGGUAUGUGGCUAAGGACAAAGUCAUGUACAUGUAUAAGCAGAUGUGGAACAGCACGUGUGGGGAUAUUGAUAAGUGGGUCCGCAGAUGUGAGGUAUAUAAGGAAAUGUGGGAUAGAAUAAGAUGCGGAUGAGGGCAUGUACACUGUAAAGAUACAUUGAUUGGGAAAUGUUUGUGAUUAGGACGUUGGUAUAUGUGAGAAAGAGAUAUUGGGUAUAUCUGUAUAAGUAGAUGUGAGCAAGGAAGUGUAUGGUAACG
rnacentral:lncRNA from 1 species